rnacentral:rRNA from 1 species
UUGAUCCUACGGGAGGCAGCAGUGAGGAAUAUUGGUCAAUGGGCGAGAGCCUGAACCAGCCAAGUCGCGUGAGGGAGUACUGCCCUAUGGGUUGUAAACCUCUUUUGUCGGGGAGCAAAAGCCGGACGUGUCCGGCUGUGAGAGUACCCGAAGAAAAAGCAUCGGCUAACUCCGUGCCAGCAGCCGCGGUAAUACGGAGGAUGCGAGCGUUAUCCGGAUUUAUUGGGUUUAAAGGGUGCGUAGGCGGACUGGAAAGUCAGCGGUAAAAUCGAGAGGCUCAACCUCUUUCCGCCGUUGAAACUGUC